AGUGGCGAACGGGUGAGUAACACGUAGGAAUCUACCCUUAAGACGGGGACAACCCAGGGAAACUUGGGCUAAUACCGGAUGAGAGUGCGAGAGAUUGCAUUUAAAAGGAUGGCGAAAGUUGUCGCUUAGGGAUGAGCCUGCGGUCUAUUAGUUAGUUGGUGAGGUAAGAGCUCACCAAGGCGAUGAUAGAUAGGCGGCCUUAACGGGUGGUCGCCCACACUGGGACUGAGAUACGGCCCAGACUCCUACGGGAGGCAGCAGUCGAGAAUAGUCUACAAUGGCCGGAAGGCUGAUAGUGCGACGCCGCGUGAACGAGGGAGCCCUUCGGGGUGUAAAGUUCUUUUCUAUACGAGCAGUGCUAUAUAUAUGGAUAGUAUAUAUAGAGGGAUAGUAGUAUAGGAAUAAGCAACGGCUAACUCCGUGCCAGCAGCCGCGGUAACACGGGGGUUGCGAGCGUUGUCCGGAAUUACUAGGCGUAAAGGGCAGGUAGGCGGAUCUACGAGUUUUUUGUUAAAGGCUACGGCUCAACUGUAGUAGAGCAGGAGAUACUGUAGGUCUGGAAUGCGGUAGGGGAAGACAGAAUUCCUGGUGUAGCGGUGGAAUGCGCAGAGAUCAGGAGGAAUACCGAAGGCGAAGGCAGUCUUCUAGGCCGUAAUUGACGCUUAACUGCGAAGGUGUGGGAUCAAACAGGAUUAGAUACCCUGGUAGUCCACACAGUAAACGAUAAUCACUAGAUGUCGGGUUCUAGAUGGAUUCGGUGUCGGAGCUAACGCGAUAAGUGAUUCGCCUGGGGAGUACGAUCGCAAGGUUGAAACUCAAAGGAAUUGACGGGGGCCCGCACAAGCGGUGGAGCAUGUGGUUUAAUUCGAGGCAACGCGAAGAACCUUACCCGGUUUUGACAUCCACGGGAGGCUUCAGAGAUGGAGCUGUGCCGGCGUAAGCUGGAGCCGUGAGACAGGUGCUGCAUGGCUGUCGUCAGCUCGUGUCAUGAGAUGUUGGGUUAAGUCCCGCAACGAGCGCAACCCUUGCCUUCAGUUACCAUCAUUAAGUUGGGGACUCUGGAGGGACCGCUGCGGUAACAACGCAGAGGAAGACGGGGACGACGUCAAGUCAUCAUGGUCCUUAUGGCCGGGGCUACACACGUGCUACAAUGGCAGUUACAGAGGGAUGCGAUUCAGUAAUGAGGAGCGAAACUCAGAAAGCUGUCGCAGUUCGGAUUGAGGUCUGCAACUCGGCCUCAUGAAGUUGGAAUCGCUAGUAAUCGCGCAACAUCAUGGCGCGGUGAAUACGUUCCCGGGCC
rnacentral:rRNA from 1 species